UACGGGGGGAGCAAGCGUUGUUCGGAUUUACUGGGCGUAAAGGGCGCGUAGGCGGCCACCGCAAGUCGACUGUGAAAUCUCCGGGCUUAACUCGGAAAGGUCAGCCGAUACUGCGGGGCUAGAGUGCAGAAGGGGCAACUGGAAUUCUCGGUGUAGCGGUGAAAUGCGUAGAUAUCGAGAGGAACACCUGCGGCGAAGGCGGCUCACUGGUCCAUUACUGACGCUGAGGUGCGAAAGCGUGGGGAGCAAACAGG
rnacentral:rRNA from 1 species